UGAGACAUCUGUGGAAACACAUCCACCUUGUUAAGCAUCAUGUUUAACAAGGAAACAGGGGUACAUCCUUGGGCUUUUCAGAUGAAAAGGCAGGAAUGACCGGAAGGAUAUGAAGAUUAUUACCACAUCACCAUGUUAUCAGAGCAAGGCAAAGAGCAGCAAAGCAUAUUGAAUGCUGAAGUUUCAUUUUCUACAAAGGACAUCAUUGAAAAGAAGUGGAGAAAGAGGCAGGGACCUAUUGCAGGUGGAUGCAAAAUGGUGAUGAGGCAGACCACAUUGAGAGCAGAAAGCCUGCUCAUUCAAGCAACCAACCAGCGUGGGAGGA